GGGAUACCCGCUGAACUUAAGCAUAUCAAUAAGCGGAGGA
rnacentral:rRNA from 2 species